GGAGGUGCAUGCAGAGGUGCGGCUGGCCUCUUAAAAAAGCCGCAUACAAAUAGUCGCAAACGACGAAAACUACGCACUAGCCGCUUAAUAACCGGUAUAGGCCCUUCCACCACAGCUUUGUUUGCUAGCGUGGAUUCGGAAGGUCAUCCAAGCAAACUAGCGAGGGAAACUCUCCUGAGGUUGAACCGCGAAAUAGUAUCGGGACAGCUACCAAGAACCCUGUUUGUCGGGGUCUAAAGUAGUUAAAGAAAAGACAAACUAAGCAUGUAGUACCAAAGGUAGACAUUUUCUGGACGCGGGUUCAAAUCCCGCCAGCUCCACCA
rnacentral:tmRNA from 13 species